UAAUCUCAGACAUCACUUAGAUGAGCAGCCCACCAGUCUCCUUGAGAGUCAGGAGGACCCACAGAGAUCUCCUGAUUGGAUCAGCAGGGGUCUCUUUGGAUGUAAUUUUGGAAUCAGAGACCAAAACUCUGACUGUCCUCCUUGGGGAGCCUGCCACCUUCCGUUGCAACGUAACUGGAGGGAACUGGAAGAACUAUCAGAUGAGUUGGUAUAAGAGGAAUGAGAAUAACGUCUUAACUUUAGUAUACAGACUAAGCAAUAAUUCUAAUGAAAAUGUAAGGGGUAAUUUCAAAGGGAAAAUUGAUACUUCAAAAAAUCAAUAUGUAUUCAACAUUCAAAAAGCAACAAUAAAAGAUGUUGGAACUUACUACUGUGGAUCCGACAUCCACAGUGCUACAGUCCUGAUUCCGAUCGCCUCAGAUCUCCCCGAGUCAAACCAAGGCAGCAGAUCCAACAAGAGACCAUCUUUGGCUAAAAUGAGCACCACCCCUGAGAAUCCAAACUGAAAGAUAACUCACUAUUUGGGACACACUGUUCUCAUGACAGAGGAAGAAGAACAAAAGAGCUGCUGGCAGAAACUCAGAGUGCUCCUCAGAGCAUUUGCCAGGAUAUGACAUACAUUAUGUCCACCCAUGUCCAUGUCCACCAUGUUCAAAGCCUUUGGGCCACACUCAAACUCAGCUGGGCAGGAAGUUGUACCCCUCCCUCAGAAGGCACCAUAGGAAA